rnacentral:lncRNA from 1 species
AUGCAGAUGUGCCAGAGUGGGACAGCAGAUUCCAAGAGUUCCUGUGCUCUACAGCAUCAAAACUGGCUCCCUGCAGACCUCAGAGCCAGCCUCGGCUCAUCCCUUCUCCUGGUGCCCCCAGCCCUGGUGGCCCUUCCCUGGCUGUGGCAGGGGCCACCCCAACAUUGGCCCUGGCGCUGGCACCAGCCGUUCCACGAUGCAACCUGUACACGUUCUGUCACGUACAAGAGCUGUUUAUAAUCUACUGUAUUACAGCAGUUAAAAUAUAUUUUGCUAUUAGGGGAGGAAAAGAAAUUGCCUUGUUCUGUUUUUUUCUCGGAGGCUCCUGGUUUGGGGGGAGUUACAAGAGGGCACAGAGGAUGGGAGUGGGAGCAGAGUAAGAUAUGUGGGGUUUCUCUCCUGGGAGAUGUUGGGAAGAGCUUUGUGGAGGAAGGGAAGCCUGAAGCUGCCUGUGCCCACAGCUGUAUCCUGGGUGGGGUGCAAGUGUCUCCUUACUCUCCAAGGACAGGGAGGGGAGAGGGAUUGAGACAUCAUGCCACAGCAGAACCAGGAUUGGAGGCACCAGGCAGGAUCACAGGAUCGUAGAGGAGAGAUCUUGGCUGGGUGUGUGGGGAGAAACUUUUACACAAGCCCUUCUUGAGGUCCUAGAAACCAGCAUGAAAUGUCCAAGGUGGGAAGUUGGGGUUUUCUAAGCUUUGUAUUGGCCAUUACAUCCCUGAGAGGGGAAAGGAUGUCCUUGAUAUUGGGGCAGGAGCACAGGGAAGGAGUCAACAGCCUUGGGAACAGUUUUUCACCUCCUGAUUUAAUAUACAUCAAAUUGGAGCAGCUGCCAAAUGUCUAUUGUGUUGGUGACUUCUGCCUUUACUUUGGGCCUGAAAAGGGUUUGUGAGCCAAGAACUUAAUGGGAUAUUUUCCCAGCUGCAUACCACGUGCUUCAAAGGCCUGUCUGUGUACUUAAGCUGUUACAGCUACAGAACAAGGCCAUUAAUCUUCCCAUUCUUUCUGGUGGGAAUAUUAAGUACUUCCAAAGAGGUGUCAGAUAGAAAAUAAAAACUUCUGUCAAGAUUUUUUUGCA